rnacentral:rRNA from 1 species
GAUGAACGCUGGCGGCGUGCCUAAUACAUGCAAGUCGAGCGAACGGACGAGAAGCUUGCUUCUCUGAUGUUAGCGGCGGACGGGUGAGUAACACGUGGAUAACCUACCUAUAAGACUGGUAUAACUUCGGGAAACCGGAGCUAAUACCGGAUAAUAUUUUGAACCGCAUGGUUCAAAAGUGAAAGACGGUGUUGCUGUCACUUAUCGCUGCAUCCGCGCUGCAUUAGCUAGUUGGUAAGGUAACGGCUUACCAAGGCAACGAUGCAUAGCCGACCUAAGAGGGUGAUCGGCCACACGGGAACUGAGACACGGUCCAGACUCCUACGGGAGGCAGCAGUAGGGAAUCUUCCGCAAUGGGCGAAAGCCUGACGGAGCAACGCCGAGUGAGUGAUGAAGGUCUUCGGAUCGUAAAACUCUGUUAUUGGGGAAGAACAUAUGUGUAAGUAACUGUGCACAGCUUGACGGUACCUAAUCAGAAAGCCACGGCUAACUACGUG